UGGGGAAUCUUGCACAAUGGGGGCAACCCUGAUGCAGCGACGCCGCGUGAGCGAUGAAGCCCUUCGGGGCGUAAAGCUCUUUCGACCGGAACGAUAAUGACGGUACCGGGAGAAGAAGCUGCGGCUAACUACGUGCCAGCAGCCGCGGUAAUACGUAGGCAGCAGGCGUUGUUCGGAGUUACUGGGCGUAAAGAGUGCGUAGGCGGUUUUCUAAGUUCGGUGUGAAAUCUCCCGGCUUAACUGGGAGGGUGCGCCGAAGACUGGGAAGCUGGAGUGUGGGAAAGGCAGGCGGAAUUCCUGGUGUAGCGGUGAAAUGCGUAGAUAUUAGGAGGAACACCGGCGGUGUAGACGGCUUGCUAGACCAUAACUGACGCUGAGGCACGAAAGCGUGGGUAGCAAACA
rnacentral:rRNA from 1 species